rnacentral:rRNA from 1 species
AUGCAAGGGGUACGACAGUCAUUGGAGGGGGAGCACAUUGCUCCUCCGUCCCCCGCGGGGAAACGACCACCCUAGGGGUUAGGACGAGUAUUGGGGCAAAACCAUCCGUAGCUCCUUUUGUAAGUUUACCCUUAAAUCCAUGCCCUUAACGGAUGGGCUGCCGGGAAUACCGGAUAACUAAGAAGUGGGACAAGCACGGGAACUUCGUAAGAAAGGGUAAAAUCCUUUUAAUAUUUAUGACCACCUGUGGCAAAGGCGGUCUACCUCAACCAAUUCUACUGUGAUGGAGGAAGACGGGUGAGCAAACCGAAUUAAUUAUCCGAGUAACACUACUCCUAACUAUAAAAAUUCUCAGCCCUCUGCUUCUUAUCUACGACCUCUGUAGGGAAAAAAUGAAGGUUUUUUCUUUUCGCCCUCAUUUACUGUUAUAUUUAGUAACUUGUUAGGCUGCCGCACCAAUUUU